AUAUGAUCAGAAAUCGAUGGUCGGUUUUAAUUUUUUGCGUUUUUAAUUAGGUGGAGUCAUUAGUGUGGUAAUAUUAUAGGGUUUGGUAUUAUUUAUAGGGUACAGUAGGAUAUAGGGACUAGUAGUUUACAGGGUACAUAGAUUUUUAGGUCCCUAGGACUAGAGCUUUGGUUUCCCGCCGACUUUUUGUAAAUAGGGUUUUCUUCUGGAUUUCGAUUCGUUCUUCGUCUUUCUUCCGCUGGUGUUCGUCUUUCUUAUCUUCUCGAUUAAGUGUUUUCGAUUGAGGAAGUAGGGUUCUUUCUGUGUUUUCUCUGUAGUAAUCUUCGUCAUACCUUCUGUUAUCGUCUGCUUCUGCUCUUCUUCUUUCUUUUUUUCUCGAUUAACUUAGUAAGGUUUCCUUCACAUUAUUGGGUUUUCGUUCAUUCGAAACUCCAAUAAUCCAUUUUGGGGUUUCCUUCACAUUAUUGGGGUUUCGUAAGGUUGUGAUGUUGAUUUUUUUGUAUUUUCGUUCUUGACUUAGUUAUCGUUAAGAUUUGUUUAUCUGUGUUUCCGAUUUAGUUGUGUUUCCGAUUUGUUUCUCUGGCGUUCUUCGUUUUACCCCUCCCGUUUCCAUAUCCUCUAUCUUGUUUUAUCGUUUUUCGACUUCGUUGAAGUUUGUUUCCGAUGUAGUUGUGUCCAUAUCAUCCAUCUUCGGUUUCUCGUUGAAACACAGCAAUUUUCUCAGGGAAUAACGGUCUUGAGAAAAUUUUGAUGCUGCCACUGGAAAAUUUAACGGUUCUCAUCCUCCCGUUUUGUAUUAAUUUUUCCAAAAUAUGUUCUAUUUACCUUCUUAAAUUGAUUUUUUUUUCAAAAAGGACUGUCUUUAGUAAUGAAACUGAACUGCGUUUUUCUCAAUGUACUUCUUCCUCUUUGUUAUUGAAGCUAUUUAUUUUGUUAGCAGGACUCCUUCUGUUUCAGGUAUUUCAACAAAUUUUUUGUUCAUUCAACAACUGAUUUUUAUAAGUCGUACGAUUAAUUGAUGUCAUCUGAUUAAUUUAUAAGUCGUACGAUUAAAUGAUAUCUGAUCAUUUUCCAUAUUGAUGCUAACUCUAUUUGUCUUUUACUUCUACUGGUAAUCUGGUGUCAUAAUUUGUUGUUUCUUUUUUCAUUCAUUUUAAGUGUGCAGUUAUUCAAUUAUUUUUCCAACAACGGUCUGAAUGGCAUAUUUUGCACAUUCACAAUUUUCUUGCCUACAUGAUGAUGUUAGUAAGAAUUAUUAUUCUUAUGUAGGUAUGAAGGUGAACGCAUAACAAAGGCCCUUUCAAAGUUUGUCAACAGCGAGGGAUGUACUGUUUAAAUCAAUGUUCGGCUAUUGUCUUUAUCUAAUUAUUACAUUCUCAGAUAGAUGUAUGCUAAAUAGUUAAAAUAAAAAUCAACCUAUUCUCGUACUGUGUGUUUUUUGUAGUAACCACUUUAAUCAUCGAUACAGGUUGGUACUGAGAUUUUUCGAACUACACAGGGCUAUCGACUAAAACUGCGUUUAUCUAUAUUUGCUAUUAAUAUAAGUGAUUUUUACAGGUGCUUUCUACAGGUUGGUACUGAGAUUGUACAAAGAGCACUUGGUACUUUCAAUUUAAAUAUAGUUAUUUCUUUCUGUUGGUGUGUGGGUUCGUCGUCCAACCUAGUGCAAGAGUGACUCUCAGAAUUAUCAACCCCCUCCCCUGUUGGACCAGGGGAGGUAUUUAUAGUCUUGCGUCCCAGUGCUUGGGCUUCAUGGGCUCGCGCGCCGGGCCCGUCUGUUCACUCG
rnacentral:lncRNA from 1 species